rnacentral:rRNA from 1 species
UACGGAGGGGACUAGCGUUGUUCGGAAUUACUGGGCGUAAAGCGCACGUAGGCGGUCUUUUAAGUCAGGGGUGAAAUCCCGGAGCUCAACUCCGGAACUGCCUUUGAUACUGGCGAUCUUGAGUUCGAGAGAGGUGAGUGGAACUGCGAGUGUAGAGGUGAAAUUCGUAGAUAUUCGCAAGAACACCAGUGGCGAAGGCGGCUCACUGGCUCGAUACUGACGCUGAGGUGCGAAAGCGUGGGGAGCAAACAGG